ACGCUCGACACCUACGGGAGCAGCAGUGGGGAAUAUUGCACAAUGGGGGAAACCCUGAUGCAGCGACGCCGCGUGAGCGAAGAAGUAUUUCGGUAUGUAAAGCUCUAUCAGCAGGGAAGAAACUGACGGUACCUGACUAAGAAGCACCGGCUAAAUACGUGACAGCAGCCGCGGUAAUCUGAGCGGGCUGGCAAGGC
rnacentral:rRNA from 1 species